rnacentral:lncRNA from 1 species
AUAUUCAUUUAUUUAGCAGGCUAAUGACAUUUAUUUAGCAGGGUAAUCAUCCUUUCCAUUAUGAAUAUCACAUGUUAUUAACAAGGGCUAUGUUCAGUUCUAUAUAACUAUUCAAACAUUAAACAGGCUAAUCAUAUGUUUCUAUAAAUCGUUUUGUUAUAUAAGUUCACAAACGAGCAUUAUACAUGCAUAACUGAUCAAUUUUCCCUUACGAACAUCAAAUGCGAUUGACAAGGGCUAAGUCCAGUUUGACAAUUUCAUUCAAACCCUUUAGCAGGCUAAUUACAUAAUUUUAUAUUUAGUUGGUUAAAUACAAACAUAAACACAUAGUAUCCUGACAGUUCC